CCUACGGGAGGCAGCAGUGGGGAAUAUUGCACAAUGGGGGAAACCCUGAUGCAGCGACGCCGCGUGAGUGAAGAAGUAAUUCGUUAUGUAAAGCCCUAUCAGCAGGGAAGAAAAUGACGGUACCUGACUAAGAAGCCCCGGCUAACUACGUGCCAGCAGCCGCGGUAAUACGUAGGGGGCACACGUUAUCCGGAUUUACUGGGUGUAAAGGGAGCGUAGGCGGCAGUGCAAGUCUGGUGUGAAAGGCGGGGGCUCAACCCCCGGACUGCUGUGGAAACUGGACGGCUGGAGUGCAGGAGAGGUAAGUGGAAUUCCUGGUGUAGCGGUGAAAUGCGUAGAUAUUAGGAGGAACACCAGUGGCGAAGGCGGCUUACUGGACUGUAACUGACGUUGAGGCUCGAAAGCGUGGGGAGCAAACAGGAUUAGAUACCCGUGUAGUC
rnacentral:rRNA from 1 species